rfam:Ascaris suum AG11509, whole genome shotgun sequence.
UCCGUUGUGGUCUAGUUUUUAGGAUUUGCUGUUUUCACCCGCAAGGCCCGGGUUCGAAUCCCCUCUACGGAA